rnacentral:rRNA from 1 species
UGCGUAACGCGUAUGCAACCUACCUUUAACAGGGGGAUAGUCCGAGAAAUCGGGAUUAACACCCCAUAAUACUAUAAAGUGGCAUCACAUAAUAGUAAAACUCUGGUGGGUUAAAGAUGGGCAUGCGUGACAUUAGCUGGUUGGUGAGGUAACGGCUCACCAAGGCUACGAUGUCUAGGGGUUCUGAGAGGAUGAUCCCCCACACUGGUACUGAGGCACGGACCAGACUCCUACGGGAGGCAGCAGUAAGGAAUAUUGGUCAAUGGACGCAAGUCUGAACCAGCCAUGCCGCGUGCAGGAAGACAGCCUUAUGGGUUGUAAACUGCUUUUAUACAGGAAUAAACCAUCCUACGUGUAGGGUGCUGAAGGUACUGUAAGAAUAAGCACCGGCUAACUCCGUGCCAGCAGCCGCGGUAAUACGGAGGGUGCAAGCGUUAUCCGGAUUUAUUGGGUUUAAAGGGUGCGCAGGCGGACCUAUCAGUCAGUGGUGAAAUCCCGAGGCUCAACCUCGGAACUGCCAUUGAUACUGUAGGUCUUGAGUUUGGUUGAAGUGGGCGGAAUGUAGCAUGUAGCGGUGAAAUGCAUAGAUAUGCUACAGAACACCGAUCGCGAAGGCAGCUCAUAAACCAAAACUGACGCUCAGGCACGAAAGCGUGGGUAGGGAACAGGAUUAGAUACCCUGGUAGUCCACGCCGUAAACGAUGAU